rnacentral:lncRNA from 1 species
GAUGCUACUGCUCGGUCUCAAACAGCUCACCAAAUUGCAUGGGAUCGUCUCUCUGCCUCGCAUAUAUCCCAAAAGGCCUGCUAUGACAGCCAGAACAGACCUGUUCACUUCUCUCGAGGCUCUUUGGACCUUACUUGGAUGCCGUCCCACCAUGUGGGUCUAUCUUCGAAGCUUCUGUCUCACUACUCUGGCCCCUAUAACGUUCUGCGCCAGCUCAGUGAAGACGCAUAGUAGAUCACCCCAGUGGACGGUAGCUUGUCAUUAUCCAUACCACCUAGUGAUAUCAUGCACAUCGCCCGUUUGAAACCCUACUUCUCUGACAACAGCCCUUCCCUUCCCUAGGCACUGAGACGGUGUGCCCACCAGCAGGGGUCACAUGUUACAAGCCACUUCCGUACAUUGUAGAAGGUGCCAGCGAGGGGAUGAAGACGACCAUCUAAGAAGCGCUUGUGUGGUUGUUGUUUCGCCAUCUCGGCUUUCUAUAUAUAUGACGUAAAUACUUUUCUCUUUUGUUUGGCUAGUCUUAUCCCCGUCACAAUAUGAUAAAUGGAAAUGCAAUGUCCUACUGUCUCUUUUUUUUUUUACUUUUCUAACUCAUUCAGAGUUGCACUAAUGUCAACACAACAUCAUAGCUUUGCCAGGCAUUCAAGUUCAAAAGUUGGUAAUGGCAUGAAGGAACAUAGAGUAGACUCUCAUCUAUGGCACUCAAAACCAUGAGUAUUUUCUGCCGAUGGAAGAAAUGCAAUCUUCCAGAAGUUGUUCUAUAGCACCAUUCUAGUUCUGAUGCCUUAGCUGCACUCUGCUGAUGCUGCAUGGAAUGUUUGUUGUGCACAGCAACUAGGAAGGACAUGCACUUGCAUUGCAGUCUUUUGUUCACUCCUAGUUCCAUUUCUUUGGAUUACUAAAAGAAUGAUCCCCAUAAAAUGCAGUUAUCAGUUGGAGCUAGAUGUGAACAGUUUUUCACAGUGCAUCCUUGAAUAACUUUCUGGAACAAACAUUUUAAGGUACAAACUAGGGGUAUAAAAAUUGUUUGUGGCACGUUAAAAACUGCAGUGCACAAAGAUAAGCAAUAUGUUGAAUGGCCUGUGAAACUAACGUGUUUAAACUUAAAAAUAAUUGGCACCUUUAACAAAUAUACUGCCGUUGUAACUUUGUGGUCAGUACACCAGUACAAUACACUCGCGUAGACCUCAGUGCCUUUUGUUUAGAAUUGUGUUUCAUAAUUGAUGAUUUUCUUCUCCAGGCCAUGUGCUACACCCAUGCUAAUUUGUCAUAUGACAAACAUGCCAAAGUAUGCUUGGUGUCAUAAUUGAUGGAUUACGAUAAAGUGCAGGCAUCUAAUUACACAAGACAAAGGGACUGUGAUUGCAAAUGUUCUUUUCUGUGAAAACGCACAAAGAUGAGUGUCCGUUCCGUGUUGUAUUAGAAAGGGCUGCUGGCAAAAAUCGGUAGCUUGCUUUUUACAGGUGAAGCUCAAAGUUUAGCUGUCAACGACCCUUUUAGAAUCAGCAGCUCUGAGCAAGUGAUAAAAUUUUUAAAAGACAACACUCACGUGAGCUUUUCUGCCUUCUCUCUAGACAUUAAAGAUUUGUUUUGCUCAUUACCUCAAAAGGAGCUACUUCAAUGCGUGGAAGGCGGCAUUGACAACCGCAGCAUAGUGGGCUUCCAGAGUGAAGUCGAUCUAACCGCUAACCAGCUUUUAGAACUUGUAAAGUUUUACUUGUCUUCGAUGUUCGCUGCUUGGAGUGACUCAAUGUUUUUUGAGAGACAGAAGGCGUAUGCAUUGGAUCCUGCCUCACGCCUCUGUUAAGCGACCUAUUCCUUGCUCAUUGCAAUAGGAUUCUGUGCACUAGUCUGAAAGGAUCAAUGGUUGCAAAAGUUUUUAGGUAUGUCAAUAUUAUCUAGUAUUUUUACAAUGUGACAAUGAAUGCUUGGCUUCUGCCAUGUCUGCUGUUGGUUCAGUUUUUCGCAAGUGCCUCCAACCUCUUUUGUGAUGUGAAGAGCCUGCUAAUGGUUCCAUCAGGUUUUUAGAUCUUGCACUCGUUUUUUUAAAGAGUCAUGUGUGUUGGUGCUAUGAGCCCCAAGGGAAGAAAGUCAUUCUACCAUUCUCGUCAGCGCAUUCUGAACUAGUUAAGCAGCUCAUCAUUAAUCUUUGUUUUAAAAACGCUUUUCUAAAAUCCAAAUCUUGUGAUCACCUGGUACACAGAAGCUUCGAAAACCAAUUUUUGCACCUAAGCACAGCUGGCUACUUCUUGCGAAUGCUGACAGCCACAAUGUCAACAAUCGGAUAAAGACUAGUCAUCUAGCCACGCACUGCUCGCGUUGUGGCUGUAAAACCUUGUUUGACAAAUCACAAAUUAUAUCUAGGAACCCCGAUCAAGUCACUAGGGACAUCGAGACAUUCGGAAUGAUCAGAAACGAUAAUUGUGUAUGCUGCCCAUCUGUGUCACUCUCAACAAAAGAAAUCAUGUUCUUAUCGCGGUAGCGGCCUGUGGUGAAUGAUUUUACCAGAAAGAAAUUUAUGCGCGACAGUGACUUUUUUUCUUCCAGUUGUACGAUGGUAUAUAUGUGAUAUCCAUGUACAACAAAAAUUCAGUUGUUAGUAGCGCUGUGUCUUCGUUGUCUUCUCUUGUCCUCGUGUUCUUUUUUUGCGCUCUGCCUCAAGUUAUCUAAUUGCCAUUCUGCUGCAUAAAACUUCUUUCAAAUGUGUGAGAAACUCCCUCUGCGACCAUUUUGCUGUUGU